CAAUAGCGUAUAUUAAAGUUGUUGCAGUUAAAAAGCUCGUAGUUGGAUUUCUGGUGGGAGCGAUCGGUCUGGCGCUUAGCGCGAGUACUUGCAUCGUCUCCGGCCAUCCUUGGGGAGAGUCUGUCUGGCAUUAAGUUGUCGGGCAGAGGAUCCUCAUCGUUUACUGUGAAAAAAUUAGAGUGUUCAAAGCAGGCUUAUGCCGUUGAAUAUAUUAGCAUGGAAUAAUAAGAUAGGACUUUGGUACUAUUUUGUUGGUUUGCGCACCAAAGUAAUGAUUAAUAGGGACAGUUGGGGGUAUUCGUAUUCCGUUGUCAGAGGUGAAAUUCUUGGAUUUACGGAAGACGAACUACUGCGAAAGCAUUGACCAAGGAUGUUUUCAUGAA
rnacentral:rRNA from 1 species